rnacentral:rRNA from 1 species
CUGAAACCGCAUGCAUACAAACAGUCGGAGCCUGGAAACGGGUGACGGCGUACCUUUUGUAUAAUGGGUCAGCGACUUACAUUCAGUGGCAAGCUUAACCGAUUAGGGAAGGCGUAGCGAAAGCGAGUCCGAAUAGGGCGUUCAGUCGCUGGGUGUAGACCCGAAACCAAGUGAUCUAUCCAUGGCCAGGUUGAAGGUGCGGUAACACGUACUGGAGGACCGAACCCACUAACGUUGAAAAGUUAGGGGAUGAGCUGUGGAUAGGGGUGAAAGGCUAAACAAACUUGGAAAUAGCUGGUUCUCUCCGAAAACUAUUUAGGUAGUGCCUCGUGUCUCACCUUCGGGGGUAGAGCACUGUCAUGGUUGGGGGGUCUAUUGCUGAUUACCCCGCCAUAGCAAACUCCGAAUACCGAAGAGUGCAAUCACGGGAGACAGACAUCGGGUGCUAACGUCCGGUGUCAAGAGGGAAACAACCCAGACCGCCAGCUAAGGUCCCUAAAUAUUGCUAAGUGGGAAACGAAGUGGGAAGGCUAAAACAGUCAGGAGGUUGGCUUAGAAGCAGCCACCCUUUAAAGAAAGCGUAAUAGCUCACUGAUCGAGUCGUCCUGCGCGGAAGAUGUAACGGGGCUAAGCAAUAUACCGAAGCUGCGGAUGCACGUAAGUGCAUGGUAGGAGAGCGUUCUGUAAGCCUGUGAAGGUGUCUUGUAAAGGAUGCUGGAGGUAUCAGAAGUGCGAAUGCUGACAUGAGUAGCGAUAAAGGGGGUGAAAGGCCCCCUCGCCGUAAGCCCAAGGUUUCCUACGCAACGUUCAUCGGCGUAGGGUGAGUCGGCCCCUAAGGCGAGGCAGAGAUGCGUAGCUGAUGGGAAGCAGGUUAAUAUUCCUGCACCGUCGUAUGAUGCGAUGGGGGGACGGAUCGCGGAAGGUUGUCCGGGUGUUGGAUGUCCCGGUCCCUGCAUUGGAGAUGGCACUUAGGCAAAUCCGGGUGCGUGAUUCAAGGGUGUGGGGCGAGCGACUUUAGGUCGCGAAGCAAUUGGAAGUGGUUCCAAGAAAAGCCUCUAAGCUUCAGUCAUACGAGACCGUACCGCAAACCGACACAGGUGGGCGAGAUGAGUAUUCUAAGGCGCUUGAGAGAACUCGGGAGAAGGAACUCGGCAAAUUGGUACCGUAACUUCGGGAUAAGGUACGCCCUUGUAGUUUGACUGGCUCGCGCCAGAAGGACGAAGGGGUUGCAAUAAAAUGGUGGCUGCGACUGUUUAAUAAAAACACAGCACUCUGCAAACACGAAAGUGGACGUAUAGGGUGUGACGCCUGCCCGGUGCCGGAAGAUUAAAUGAUGGGGUGCAAGCUCUUGAUUGAAGUCCCGGUAAACGGCGGCCGUAACUAUAACGGUCCUAAGGUAGCGAAAUUCCUUGUCGGGUAAGUUCCGACCUGCACGAAUGGCGUAACGAUGGCCACACUGUCUCCUCCCGAGACUCAGCGAAGUUGAAGUGUUUGUGAUGAUGCAAUCUCCCCGCGGCUAGACGGAAAGACCCCAUGAACCUUUACUGUAGCUUUGCAUUGGACUUUGAACCGAUCUGUGUAGGAUAGGUGGGAGGCUUUGAAACCGGGACGCUAGUUUCGGUGGAGCCGUCCUUGAAAUACCACCCUGGUUUGUUUGAGGUUCUAACCUUGGCCCGUGAAUCCGGGUCGGGGACAGUGCAUGGUAGGCAGUUUGACUGGGGCGGUCUCCUCCCAAAGUGUAACGGAGGAGUUCGAAGGUACGCUUGGUACGGUCGGACAUCGUACCUAAAGUGCAAUGGCAAAAGCGUGCUUAACUGCGAGACCGACAAGUCGAGCAGGUGCGAAAGCAGGACAUAGUGAUCCGGUGGUUCUG